ensembl:lncRNA
AUGGUCUUAGAGAAUCCCAUCCAAGUAGCCAAACGAUCCCUUUCUGGAGACUGGUUUGUGCUGCCUGAAAACUGUGGACUGGUUCUCUACUUCGAAUUCCUUACCAAGAACUUCAUUUUUCUUGGGAGGUGCCUGGUCCCAGCUGUCGUACACAGCUUAGCAGAGGCAGCGCAGAAGCUCCCCAGGCCAACAGCCCAGCUGCACAGAAGUGUACCCCGAGCCUGUCAUCUCCCCCCGCUGUGCAGUGGUGGUGACCACGAGGCUUCAGUGCCCCAGGACGGCUCACCUGUGCCCCUGCAAGAGCGGGGCUGUGCCUUACAAAGUCCAGACCUGUGCUGCGCUGCUCUAAGAGCUCAGGGUCACACAGCACAAGAUUCAUGGCUCUGA